GAUGAACGCUAGCGGCAGGCUUAAUACAUGCAAGUUGAGGGGUAGCAAGAUUGUAGCAAUACAAUUGUUGACGACCGGCAAACGGGUGCGGAACACGUACACAACCUUCCUACAAGUGGGGAAUAGCCCAGAGAAAUUUGGAUUAAUACCCCGUAACAUAGCGAUGUGGCAUCACAUUGCUAUUAUAGCUUCGGCGCUUGUUGAUGGGUGUGCGGCUGAUUAGAUAGUUGGCGGGGUAACGGCCCACCAAGUCUACGAUCAGUAGCUGAUGUGAGAGCAUGAUCAGCCACACGGGCACUGAGACACGGGCCCGACUCCUACGGGAGGCAGCAGUAAGGAAUAUUGGACAAUGGACGCAAGUCUGAUCCAGGCAUGCCGCGUGAAGGAUUAAGGUCCUCUGGAUUGUAAACUUCUUUUAUAAGGGACGAAAAAAGGUCUUUCUAGAUCGUCUGACGGUACUUUAUGAAUAAGCACCGGCUAACUCCGUGCCAGCAGCCGCAGUAAAAC
rnacentral:rRNA from 1 species